rnacentral:lncRNA from 1 species
CAUGUCACAAAUUAGAAACGAAUGCACUACAAAAGCACAAUAUAAUAAAUCAAAGCCCUUUUCUUCUAUAAUUCUCUCUCUCCACAUCAGAAUUACAUACAUUACAACUCAGCAUGACUUUACACGUAUAAUCAAAAUCCUUGUUUUAAAAACAAGGCCUAGGAAGUUUAACUAAAUUGCUUGGGUUAUAGCAGAGGAGGAAAUGCCUGCUAGUUUCUUCCAUGUUCGCUUGACAUUUAACUUGUUUCUCACUGAGACCCAGAUUCUCACACUUCUGAACUCAUAGAAAGUAAAAUUCCCCCGAAGAGCAGGCAGAAUGCUUUAUAAAUUCUGUGUCCCGAAUAACUAAGUACAAUAAAUGGAGAUAAACUACUUCCCAAAAUAUUUGAUUUGUUUUCUAAGUGACACAGAAUUAAAUAAGAUGUAUUUCCAAAUAAAAACAGCCAAGAAUGGACAUAAUUUUCCCAAUUUGCAUCUCUCUUGAUCAAAUACAGUAUUCUGACUUCCUACAAGAGAAAAAAAUUCUGUUCAAACAAAAUGAUUCUAGAGAGCUGAUUUAGGAGAGAGUUGUUCAUUUUCUUCUUUCAGUGAAAAUAAAAUGCGAAUGACAAAGCAAUCCUUUAGAUAGCCAGAUAAAUACAGAGGAAAAGGCCAAGUGGGAAGAGACAAUGAAAAGCAAAGGAAGAGAGCUCUUUAAGGGAAUAAGAUGAACAAUUAUUUGAGAAAGGUCAUACCAAAGAAAAACUGGCUCAACUUCACUCAGCCUAUCUCUCUGCCAUUGCUUUUACUCUGCUGAUCAUGCCUCCUCCAUUUGGUCAAGUUUUGGCCAUUAGGGAGUUUUUUUAUAGUGCCAACAGAUAACGUGCAUAAAGCAUAAUGUUG